CCCUCCGUAGCUCAGGGGACAGAGCAAGCGGUUUCUACCCGCUUGGUCGGGGGUUCGAAUCCUCCCGGGGGGG
rnacentral:tRNA from 1 species